rnacentral:rRNA from 1 species
GACGAACGCUGGCGGCGUGCUUAACACAUGCAAGUCGAACGGAAAGGCCCUGCUUUUGUGGGGUGCUCGAGUGGCGAACGGGUGAGUAACACGUGAGUAACCUGCCCUUGACUUUGGGAUAACUUCAGGAAACUGGGGCUAAUACCGUAUAGGAGCUCCUGCUGCAUGGUGGGGGUUGGAAAGUUUCGGCGGUUGGGGAUGGACUCGCGGCUUAUCAGCUUGUUGGUGGGGUAGUGGCUUACCAAGGCUUUGGCGGGUAGCCGGCCUGGGAGGGUGACCGGCCACAUUGGGACUGAGAUACGGCCCAGAGUCCUACGGGAGGCAGAAGUGGGGAAUCUUGCACAAUGGGAGGAAGCCUGAUGCAGAAACGCCGCGUGCGGGAUGACGGCCUUCGGGUUGUAAACCGCUUUAGCCUGUGACGAAGCGUGAGUGACGGUAAUGGGUAAAGAAGCACCGGCUAACUACGUG